rnacentral:tRNA from 1 species
GGGUGAUUAGCUCAGCUGGGAGAGCACCUCCCUUACAAGGAGGGGGUCGGCGGUUCGAUCCCGUCAUCAGCAAACA